UAGGGAAUCUUCGGCAAUGGACGAAAGUCUGACCGAGCAACGCCGCGUGAGUGAAGAAGGUUUUCGGAUCGUAAAACUCUGUUGUUAGAGAAGAACAAGGACGUUAGUAACUGAACGUCCCCUGACGGUAUCUAACCAGAAAGCCACGGCUAACUACGUGCCAGCAGCCGCGGUAAUACGUAGGUGGCAAGCGUUGUCCGGAUUUAUUGGGCGUAAAGCGAGCGCAGGCGGUUUCUUAAGUCUGAUGUGAAAGCCCCCGGCUCAACCGGGGAGGGUCAUUGGAAACUGGGAGUCUUGAGUGCAGAAGAGGAGAGUGGAAUUCCAUGUGUAGCGGUGAAAUGCGUAGAUAUAUGGGGGAACACCAGUGGCGAAGGCGGCUCUCUGGUCUGUAACUGACGAUAAGGCUCGAAAGCGUGGGGAGCAAACAGG
rnacentral:rRNA from 1 species